GACCUGCUAGAAGGGUUUCUGUUGGUAUAACAUUCUCAAAAACCUGGUGAGGCUCCCAUAUAUGUAAUGUUGAUUUCACACAUUUAGAAAAGAAGAUCCUUACACAUCUGUCCUGGAUAAGCUCAUCUCUAUUCCUGGUUUCUGCAGAGAUGUUUAAGUAAAUCCAUGAGUCCAUACCUAAUUUCUUCAGCAUAAGCCAAAGGUUGUCCAGCCACAUGCUAGGCCUUGUCUCUAGAGCACUUUUCUAACAAUGAAUAUCCUUACUAUCUAUUAUCAUCUGGUUAGGCUUAGAAUAUCCCAAAUCAUCAAGUGCUCAUUCUUUUUUACUUAAUAAUUCAUUCUUCCAUUUAUCACUUUUCUAUUUUACUAUAUACACCAAGAAGUAACUAAGCCAUACUUCCAACACUUUGCUUGCAAAUCUCCUUAGUUAAAUAUUCAGGUUCAUCAUUUAUGAGCUCUGCUUCACACAUAACUAUAGGAGUCAAUUCAGAUAAUCUUUCUGUAUAACACUGUAUAGCAAGGAUUGCCUUUCUUCCAGUUUCCAAUAAAAAUUUCUGUAUUUCCUACCAAGCCCUCAUCAUAAAUGUCUUUAUAUUCAUAUUUCUAUCAAAGCUCUUGUUGAGGAAAUAUAUGCUUUUUCUGUUGAGUGCAUCAAAGUUUUCCAGCCUUGAUCCAUUAUCAAAUUCUGCUGCCACUUUCUCAUUUUAGGUAUUCAUCACAGCAAUACCCCAUUUCCCAGUACCAAAAUCUGUAUUAGGUUCCUGUGGCUACUCUAAGAAAUUACCCCAAACACUAUGGUUUAAAAGAGUAAAUAUUUAUUCUCUUAUUGUUUUAGAUUCCAGAAGUCCAAAAUUGAGAUUUUUUGACAGGGCUGUACUUCUGGAUGCUGUAGGAGAAAAACAAUUCAUUUCAUCUUCUCUUUUUUUGGUGGCUGUCAUUGUUCCUUGGCUUAUGGCUGUCUCUUUGCUCUGUCUUCACAUCACCUUCCCCUCUGUGUAUCUACCUCUGCCUCUGUCUUAUAUGGACACUUAUGAUGGCAUUUAGGGCCCACCCAGAUUAUCUAUGAAAAUCUCAUCUGAUGAUCUUUAAUUUAAUUACAUCUUCAAAGACCCCUUUUUCCAAAUAAGAUAAUUUCACAAAUUUUGUGCAUUAAGACAUGAGCAUAUCUUUUUUGGGUGGGUCAUCAUUCAGCCACUACAUUAGUUAUGUCACAUAAAUGUACUUAACACUUUUCAAAAUGCAUCCUUGGUGCUCAAGCAAAAUUUAAGGUUGUCUCUAAGGCUGUUAUCUACACAGGUUUCUGCAUGCUUUGUUUUAAGUGGAUGAAAAAGCUAUUCUAAAUUUUGGUUCACAUAUUUGCCACUAUGGCCAGUUAGCUUGAAAAAAAAAUCAGUGACUUCAACUGUGCUCUGAUGUAACUUUCUGCUGUUUCUAUCGUGUAUCUGACCAGAUGUCUUCUGUGAUUUAUAAUGCAGGCACAAAACUACCUCUGAUACAGAAAGGUUAUUUACAAGCCUAUUUUAGAUAUUGUGAAUCCCUCAAAUGAAGGGAGAAGUGUAAGCAAAGACUGCAUUGAAUGGGUAUUGAGGGAGAUUUUGUCCAUACCAAGCAACCUUGCAGAAGUAUUUCAGUAGCUGUAAAAAUUUAGAUUUGUGUUCUCAUUUUGCCUGGGAAUAAAAACCUGUCUCUAAGCAACACCAAGAAUGACUUGCAACCUAUAUGUGAUGCCUACUUAUUCAAUAAAGUUAAGAUAUAUAUUAA
ensembl:lncRNA